rnacentral:rRNA from 1 species
GAUGAACGCUGGCGGCGUGCUUAACACAUGCAAGUCGAACGGAAAGGCUCCAGCUUGCUGGCGUACUCGAGUGGCGAACGGGUGAGUAACACGUGGGUAAUCUGCCCUGCACUCUGGGAUAAGCCUGGGAAACUGGGUCUAAUACUGGAUAUGACCUUUCUCCUUAUGGGGUUUGGUGGAAAGUUUUUCGGUGUAGGAUGAGCCCGCGGCCUAUCAGCUUGUUGGUGGGGUGAUGGCCUACCAAGGCGACGACGGGUAGCCGGCCUGAGAGGGUGAUCGGCCACAUUGGGACUGAGAUACGGCCCAGACUCCUACGGGAGGCAGCAGUGGGGAAUAUUGCACAAUGGGCGGAAGCCUGAUGCAGCGACGCCGCGUGAGGGAUGACGGCCUUCGGGUUGUAAACCUCUUUCAGCAGGGACGAAGCGUAAGUGACGGUACCUGCAGAAGAAGCACCGGCUAACUAUGUG